AAUGAACGUUGGCGGCGUGGAUUAGGCAUGCAAGUCGAGGGAGAACCCGCAAGGGGGACACCGGCGAACGGGGUAGGAUCAUCUCGGUGACGUACCCUCCGGACGGGGAUAGCCACGGGAAACUGUGGGUAAUACCCGAUGACCUGGCAGGCGAUUAGGGCUUGUCAGCAAAGGUGAGAUUCCACCGGAGGAGCGGCUGAGACGCUAUUAGCUUGUUGGCGAGGUAAUGGCUUACCAAGGCGACGAUGGCUAGGGGGUGUGAGAGCAUGGCCCCCACCACUGGCACUGAGACACUGGCCAGACACCUACGGGUGGCUGCAGUCGAGAAUCUUCGGCAAUGGGCGCAAGCCUGACCGAGCGACGCCGCGUGCGGGAUGAAGGUCUUCGGAUUGUAAACCGCUGUCGGAGGGGAUGAAGUGUAUGGGAGCAAUCUCCUGUAUUUGACAGAGCCUCGGAGGAAGCACGGGCUAAGUUCGUGCCAGCAGCCGCGGU
rnacentral:rRNA from 1 species